UGUAGAUGUUGGUUCCUUUAAUCCUUUCCCAGCAGCACCGUGAGUUCUUCAAACAGCUGUGUGAGCUGCUGGGUGAUGGACAGACAGUCAUCCUGUUGCUCUGAGACUUCAGUUUUCCAAGUAGAAUCACUUCCCUCAAGCUCACUCCGGAGGAUAGAGCCCAGAGUCCUGGGGAAGGAUCUUUUGCCCCUUGAAUCCUGGCACCUACCCCUCCACAAUGCAGAGAAAGGGUAGGAGUCACCAUUCUCUGUGGGGCUGGGAAUCUGGAGCUCAAAGCUGGAAUCCUGGCACAGUCCUGCACGGGCUGUGUGACCUCGUGGUACUUAUGCUCUAGUGAGAAGAUAAGACACAGACCUGGGAGACUCUCGAUCAAGGUCUUUUCUUCUGACUCUACACUUGCCUCCAUCUCGUGGAUCUGGCUUCCUCAAGACCUGACGUUUUCUCCAUAAUCUCCCACCAGCCCGCUCAGUGCCCCACUCACCUGAGUCUCCUCCAUCACCAGGUCUGUACCCUGCUUCUCCCUCUGGAUGCCCUAAUGUCUCAAGGCCAGGGAAACAAGAGCAAGGUCCAUCCUCCUCUAUGUGGCUGGCCCUGUCCCUAAAGAUAAGGAAGAGGAGAUGCAGAACAGGCUUCUUUAUCUCUGCUAAGUUGUUAUCCCUUUUCCCAGAUUGACUCUGAUGAUUUACCUCCCAGCUUCUGUGAAC